rnacentral:rRNA from 1 species
GUGAAGGCGCGGCAAACGGCUCAGUAACACGUGGCUAACCUACCCUUGGGACGGAGACACUCCCGGGAAACUGGGGCUAAUCCCCGAUAGGUAAGGACUCCUGGAAUGGAUCCUUGCUGAAAAGACGUUGAGUGCAUGCUAUUCAGCGUCGCCUAAGGAUGGGGCCGCGGCCGAUCAGGCUGUUGGCGAGGCAACGGCUCACCAAGCCUAUAACCGGUACGGGCCGUGAGAGCGGAAGCCCGGAGAUGGGAACUGAGACAAGGUCCCAGGCCCUACGGGGCGCAGCAGUUGCGAAAACUCCGCAAUGCGCGAAAGCGUGACGGGGCUAUCCCGAGUGCCGCCCGUUGAGGGCGGCUUUUCCAUGGUGUAAGGAGCCGUGGGAAUAAGGAGAGGGCAAGCCUGGUGUCAGCCGCCGCGGUAAUACCAGCUCUCCGAGUGGUGAGGACGAUUAUUGGGCUUAAAGCGUUCGUAGCCGGCUUAACAAGUCUUCCGUUAUAUCCAACGAUUUAAUC